AAGAGGUUGUUUUCAAUCUCUUCAUCACCACCUGAAAUACGAUAUAAGUUAACUAAUUUAACCACUAUCAAAUCAAGGAAUCUUUAAUAUUUAAUGCUAUAAUACCUAAACUAACUUUCUCGAUACUUAGAUAAAUUUCUCAAAUUUUCCUUAAUUAAUUGGAGAUAAUUCUACUUUCUAACAUCUUCACAAAUAUGUAGUAUGUCCAAAUUUAUCUUCAUUCCAAUCAUAAAAGUAUUUAUCCCUUCGAAUAUAGUGAAAAACUAGUAACCAUAAGUCAACCAAUUUAAUUUCAUCUUGUUCCAUAAAAUCAUGCUUUCAUUUAAAUAUUUCAUCACCACAAUCAUUUCUACUAAUACUAAAUCAAAAAUACCAAAGAAGAAUUCUAGGGUUUUGCUCAAAAGAUAUUACUUACUUUGAUAUAAAUAUCAUUCACAACUCAAAAAGAUUGGCUUGAAAUCAUGUUCUUUUCUUCAUUCUGAAAUUUAAGCCAACCAUUUAGAACCCUAGAAAUUUCGACAUAAGUUAUUCAUUUAUCACUUGAAGCAAAUAGAUAAAUUAAAUACGAGCUUGAGGAAAUCAACACUUACUUUUUCUUCUUCUUCCCUUUUUCCCUUUCUUUUUUCCUUCCCUUUUUAUUUUUUUUUAUUUAUUUAUUUAUUUAUUUUGCCUCUUUUCUUUCUCUUUUUCUUCCUUUCUCUCGGAUCUUC
rnacentral:lncRNA from 1 species